rnacentral:rRNA from 1 species
UACAGAGGUCUCAAGCGUUGUUCGGAUUCAUUGGGCGUAAAGGGUGCGUAGGCGGCGCGGUAAGUCGGGUGUGAAAUCUCGGGGCUUAACUCCGAAACUGCAUUCGAUACUGCCGUGCUUGAGGACUGGAGAGGAGACUGGAAUUUACGGUGUAGUGGUGAAAUGCGUAGAUAUCGUAAGGAAGACCAGUGGCGAAGGCGGGUCUCUGGACAGUUCCUGACGCUGAGGCACGAAGGUCAGGGGAGCAAACGGG